GCAGUAGCCGCGGUAAUACGUAGGGUGCGAGCGUUAAUCGGAAUUACUGGGCGUAAAGCGUGCGCAGGCGGUUGUGUAAGACAGGUGUGAAAUCCCCGGGCUUAACCUGGGAACUGCGCUUGUGACUGCACAGCUAGAGUAUGGCAGAGGGGGGUGGAAUUCCACGUGUAGCAGUGAAAUGCGUAGAGAUGUGGAGGAACACCGAUGGCGAAGGCAGCCCCCUGGGCCAAUACUGACGCUCAUGCACGAAAGCGUGGGGAGCAAACAGGAUUAGAUACCCCCGUAGUCCCUGUCUCUUAUAA
rnacentral:rRNA from 1 species